GACGAACGCUGCGGCGUGCUUAACACAUGCAAGUCGAGCGGAAAGGCCCUUUCGGGGGUACUCGAGCGGCGAACGGGUGAGUAACACGUGAGUAAUCUGCCCUGCGCUCUGGGAUAGCCACCGGAAACGGUGAUUAAUACCGGAUAGGACCACUUCACGCAUGUGAUGGUGGUGGAAAGUUUUUUCGGCGCAGGAUGUGCUCGCGGCCUAUCAGCUUGUUGGUGAGGUAACGGCUCACCAAGGCUUUGACGGGUAACCGGCCUGAGAGGGUGACCGGUCACACUGGGACUGAGACACAGCCCAGACUCCUACGGGAGGCAGCAGUGGGGAAUAUUGGACAAUGGGCGGAAGCCUGAUCCAGCAACGCCGCGUGAGGGAUGACGGCCUUCGGGUUGUAAACCUCUUUCAGUACCGACGAAGCGAAAGUGACGGUAGGUACAGAAGAAGGACCGGCCAACUACGUGCCAGCAGCCGCGGUAAUACGUAGGGUCCGAGCGUUGUCCGGAAUUAUUGGGCGUAAAGGGCUCGUAGGCGGUUUGUCGCGUCGGGAGUGAAAACACCGGGCUUAACUCGGUGCUUGCUUUCGAUACGGGCAGACUAGAGGUAUGCAGGGGAGAAUGGAAUUCCUGGUGUAGCGGUGAAAUGCGCAGAUAUCAGGAGGAACACCGGUGGCGAAGGCGGUUCUCUGGGCAUUACCUGACGCUGAGGAGC
rnacentral:rRNA from 1 species